rnacentral:rRNA from 1 species
UACGAAGGGGGCUAGCGUUGCUCGGAAUCACUGGGCGUAAAGGGCGCGUAGGCGGCGUUUUAAGUCGGGGGUGAAAGCCUGUGGCUCAACCACAGAAUGGCCUUCGAUACUGGGACGCUUGAGUAUGGUAGAGGUUGGUGGAACUGCGAGUGUAGAGGUGAAAUUCGUAGAUAUUCGCAAGAACACCGGUGGCGAAGGCGGCCAACUGGACAAUACUGACGCUGAGGCGCGAAAGCGUGGGGAGCAAACAGG